AACUUUGUUGUUAAGUAGGGUGCUAUAAUUUCAAAAAGUGGGAUUGUGUCUUGGAUUUUGUAACAAUGCCAAGAGAGUACGCAGAGAAAGAGAAGUGGCUGCAUUGGGCCCUAAAGACUGGGUGUGGUGAACCUCCUUCUUAAUGUCCAGUGUCUUUCUAUUUGGUGAACUGUGU